rnacentral:misc_RNA from 1 species
GAAAUGCGAUAAGUAAUGUGAAUUGCAGAAUUCAGUGAAUCAUCGAAUCUUUGAACGCACAUUGCGCCCGCCAGUACUCUGGCGGGCAUGCCUGUUCGAGCGUCAUUUCAACCAUCAAGCCCCCGGCUUGUGUUGGGGACCUGCGGCUGCCCGCAGGCCCUGAAAAACAGUGGCGGGCUCGCUGUCACACCGAGCGUAGUAGCAUACAUUCUCGCUCAGGGCGUGCUGCGGGUUCCGGCCGUUAAACGACCUUCAUAACCCAAGGUUGACCUCGGAUCAGGUAGGAAGACCCGCUGAACUUAAG